AUUGAACGCUGGCGGCAUGCCUUACACAUGCAAGUCGAACGGCAGCACGGGAGCAAUCCUGGUGGCGAGUGGCGAACGGGUGAGUAAUGUAUCGGAACGUGCCCAGUCGUGGGGGAUAACGUAGCGAAAGUUACGCUAAUACCGCAUACGAUCUUUGGAUGAAAGCGGGGGAUCGCAAGACCGCGCGCGAUUGGAGGGGCCGAUAUCAGAUUAGGUAGUUGGCGGGGUAAAGGCUCACCAAGCCGACGAUCGGUAGCUGGUUGGAGAGGACGACCAGCCACACUGGGACUGAGACACGGCCCAGACUCCUACGGGAGGCAGCAGUGGGGAAUUUUGGACAAUGGGCGCAAGCCUGAUCCAGCAACGCCGCGUGCAGGACGAAGGCCUUCGGGUUGUAAACUGCUUUUGUACGGAACGAAACGGUCCUCUUUAAUACAGAGGGCUAAUGACGGUACCGUAAGAAUAAGCACCGGCUAACUACGUGCCAGCCGCCGCAGUAA
rnacentral:rRNA from 1 species